GACGAACGCUGGCGGCGUGCUAAUACAUGCAAGUAGAACGCUGAAGAGAGGAGCUUGCUCUUCUUGGAUGAGUUCGAACGGGUGAGUAACGCGUAGGUAACCUGCCUGGUAGCGGGGGAUAACUAUUGGAAACGAUAGUAAUACCGCAUAAAAUUGAUUAUUCAUGAUAAUUAAUUGAAAGAUGCAAUUGCAUCACUACCAGAUGGACCUGCGUUGUAUUAGCUAGUGGUGGGGUAACGGCUCACCAAGGCGACGAUACAUAGCCGACCUGAGAGGGUGAUCGGCCACACUGGGACUGAGACACGGCCCAGACUCCUACGGGAGGCAGCAGUAGGGAAUCUUCGGCAAUGGGGGGAACCCUGACCGAGCAAC
rnacentral:rRNA from 1 species